UAAAUACUCCCUCCGCCCCAAAAUUCUUGUCUUAGAUUUGUCUAGAUACGGAUGUAUCUAAUACUAAAAUGUGACUUGAUACAUCCGUAUUUAGACAAAUCUAAGACAAGAAUUUUGGGACGGAAGGAGUAGUCA
rnacentral:pre_miRNA from 1 species